CCGGGCUGGGCUACACUCGGGCCUCGUACUUUCGAAACUGGACCACGUAUGUUUCCGUACGUAAUAUUGCGUUUCGCAUAUUGCUCGCAUAUAUUUCUCCGUUGUUUAAAAAUAAUCUCACUAUUAGGCCCCGUUUGGAUACCUCUAAAAACGUAGCAUAGUUAAACUAUGCUACGGUGGUAGGAAAAUAAUCCUAUGAAGCGUUUGGAAGAAAAAAAAAAUGACGUAAUUUUUGGAAUAUAGUUAUACUAUACUACAAAAAAUGUAGUAAACUUACAAUACCCUUUAACCAAAGGAAAAAAUUCUACCAUUUCGGGCUCCCAAAGAUGUAUCAAUUUUUAAAUUUUAAAUUUCAACAUAAAAUUUUAGAUUUCAAAUUUUAAAAUUUUAAAAUUCAAAUUUAAUUUUGAUUUUAAAUUUCAAAUUUUAAAUUUCAAAUUUCAAAUUUCAAAAACUUCAAAUUUUAAAUUUUAAAUUUCAAAUUUCAAAAACUUCAAAUUUCAAAUUUCAAAUUUCAAAUUUCAAAUUUCAAAUUUCAAAAGUUCAAAUUUCAAAUUUCAAAUUUCAAAUUUCAAAUUUCAAAUUUCAAAUUUCAAAUUUUAAAUUUCAACUUUCAAAUUUCA
rnacentral:lncRNA from 1 species